AUUGAACGCUGGCGGCAGGCCUAACACAUGCAAGUCGAGCGGACGAAGGGAGCUUGCUCCUGGAUUCAGCGGCGGACGGGUGAGUAAUGCCUAGGAAUCUGCCUGGUAGUGGGGGAUAACGUCCGGAAACGGGCGCUAAUACCGCAUACGUCCUGAGGGAGAAAGUGGGGGAUCUUCGGACCUCACGCUAUCAGAUGAGCCUAGGUCGGAUUAGCUAGUUGGUGGGGUAAAGGCCUACCAAGGCGACGAUCCGUAUCUGGUCUGAGAGGAUGAUCAGUCACACUGGAACUGAGACACGGUCCAGACUCCUACGGGAGGCAGCAGUGGGGAAUAUUGGACAAUGGGCGAAAGCCUGAUCCAGCCAUGCCGCGUGUGUGAAGAAGGUCUUCGGAUUGUAAAGCACUUUAAGUUGGGAGGAAGGGCAGUAAGUUAAUACCUUGCUGUUUUGACGUUACCAACAGAAUAAGCACCGGCUAACUUCGUG
rnacentral:rRNA from 1 species